GGGGAAUCAACUUUUUACUUGGGUAGAUAGUGAUAGGACAAAGGGAAAUGAUUUUAAGAUCCAGGAGAGAAGGUUUAGACUGGAUGUCAAGGAGAAGUUCUUCACAAAGCGGUGAGUGGCUGGAACAGGCUGCCCAGAGAUGCCACAUGUCUGGAGGUGUUCAAGACCAGGUUGGAUCUAGACCCUGGACAACCUGGUCUAGUACCAGGUCUGGAGGUUGGUGGCCACGCCUAUGGCAAGGAGGAGUUGGAACUUGAUGAUCCUUCAGGUCCCUUCCAUAGAAUCAUAGAAGCUAUUCUAUGAUUCUACGAUAGUGAAAUAUCUAUUUCAGAAUAUUUCUAUUCCUUCUAACUGGUUAGGUCCUCUGACUGCUACCAUGAAUAUACAAGUGGAAUAAAAAUCUAAAUAAAUGCUACAGUUUUUCCAGUGGCAACUUCACAAUGAUGGUUUUAGCAGCUCCUGUUAAAAGCAAAUUCAAACACUGAUGGAUACACUUUAUCUAGACUUCAAGGACAGCUGAGUGGGUCUCUUCUGGAGCAGAAGACUUGAGCUGUGGGUACUCGCCACAGGCUGCAGUAACUCCAAGCAUCUGAGAAGCUUGGUCCACCUUCAUGGAGAAUGCAUAGCCUUAUGCAGUAAGCCACAAUAGAGAGACAAGUGUGCAUCCCACUGGCUACCAGGAGGGCAGAUGAGAUCUGUGGGGCAAGUUUUUUAUGUGAGACAGGUGGCAAUAGUCUAGGGAAUGCUGCUUAAAAAAAAAUCAUGUCAGUGAGAAAUUGCACAGUUAGCGAUCAAAUGAUUUUUUUCUUCAUAAAGUCAAAAGUGUUCUCAGUUUUGAAACUAAACGUUGAGAAAAUAAACUGUAGGUAUACAUAUAUAUUUAGAAAUGCAUAAAUUUGAAAUUUCCUCUGGCCAUCAUUUUAUCAUUAUUCAUAACUAUAAAAAAAGCUAAAAAGACAACAUAUUAAACAGGCUUCUGCACAAUGGCUGUUGCAAUCUGUACCUUGAAAAGAAAAACUAAGGACAUUUGUUUUUUAUUACAGUAUUUACUCCAAAAAUUGAAAUAUCUUUAUCUUUGUAGUCAUAGGUGUAAAAUUUUAUAGGUUUGGGGAUAUCAUUUGUGGUUUUUAAUACAACAUUUUUCAUGUAUUUUAAACUGGUCAAGGAAAGAAGGAGAAAUUUUAGACCUACAUAAUGCUAUAAAUUCAUACUUUGUUUCCACUAUGUAAUUUAGCUCAGAAUUUGCUACAAUUGUGAUAUAUCAAGAGAAUUAUGCAUUAAAUUGGCCUCAAAAUUCUAUUUUUUUAAAAACCUUUCAAGAGGUAGAUAAAAACUGACCCAAGAGACAAAGCAUUUAGAAUACUAUUCAAUCCAACUUCAACACGUAACUUCUCCCAACACAGCUAUCUAAUUCCUCAACUGUCACAACCUAUCCAGACAACGAUUUUUAUGUUGAAAAUUAUAUGUGUGAAUCCCAUAUACAUACUUGAAUAGGUACAUAGAAAUGCAGAUGAUUUCUAGAGCAGAAGCAAUCAACCAAAAUAACUUUGAUUUUAAUGACUGCCGCUUCAUAUCAGAACUAUUCAUCAUCAGUCUGCCUAGGACUUUAUAGGUGGAUACGACAGCAUGCAAAAAUGAAAGCCUGGUCAUAGCUCUGUUUUGGAAGAACUAAUAGCUGAUAUCUUGUACAACAAAUACUGUAAUAAUGUACAGUUGAAUCUUUCUCAAAGUGCACAGAAUACAUGACAAACCAUCUAUUUUUGAUAUUUAAUUUGUAGAGAAAGUAGGAAAUGGUUUAGUCAUUUCAAAUCACACACUUUCAGGUAAAUUUGGAGAAUUUAAUGCUUCUUUUUUUACUCAAGAUAUCUGCUAUCACACUGGUGACACUUAAGAGUUUUGAAUUUUUCUUUAUGACUUCGCAAGGUCUGGAUCUCCUGACUGUGGUGUAAGAAAGAGGACAAAUCAAUUUGCCAAAAAGAAGCAAUAGGAAUAUUUUCUUUAACAGACAACUUAAAAUUUUAUAAUCAUAGCUCUGAGCCAAUUACUGGCUUCAUGAGUAUUUCCUUGCUGAACUCGUAAGGAUACCUACAAUUUUCAGAUAUAUAGGCAUUUGGCUCAUACUGUCUAAAGCACUAAUUAAC
ensembl:lncRNA